rnacentral:rRNA from 1 species
GACAGAGGCCUCAAGCGUUAGGCGGAAUUACUGGGCGUAAAGCGUGCGCAGGCGGUGAUGUAAGACCGAUGUGAAAUCCCCGGGCUUAACCUGGGAACUGCAUUGGUGACUGCAUUGCUGGAGUAUGGCAGAGGGGGGUGGAAUUCCACGUGUAGCAGUGAAAUGCGUAGAGAUGUGGAGGAAUACCGAUGGCGAAGGCAGCCCCCUGGGUCAAUACUGACGCUCAUGCACGAAAGCGUGGGGAGCAAACAGG